AACACGUUGGAUUCGCCGUGUUUGUAGGUUCGCAAAGCCAUGAACAUCGACAGCAACGCAACGUCCGUCGUUGCUGAUAGUUCGUUUAGGCUUGUUCGCGGUGCUGUAGUGUGUUGUGUGCCCAUCGAUCGAUCUGUCUGCGUGAAUAAUCUCAUCCUCUCAUACCCCUGGUUACACAGUAGCGCGUGUCUGUAGUGCCACCUGCUGGCUCAGCCUCAACUCUGGGCCUGUUUACCUGACAAAUUUGGCCUGAACUUGCUACUUUUCCUUUUUCUCAUCUUCUGGUCGAGCCUUCAUAAUCACUGCUCACUCUCACAGUCUCUGCUCAGCCCGCAGUCUUCGCUUCCUCUGAACCAUCUGGCACCUCUCAUUUCUUCACGCUUGACCAGUCUGUCACCUUCUCAUAGGAAAAGAAGGUUUCCUAAUGCAUCUGAAUAAUGGGAUGCAUAUAUGAGGAAUUUUAACAUGUGGAUGAAAUGUUUAAGCUUCUGAAUCAAGAGAAAUGUUUAAAGCAAGACCAGGGGGAGGCUGAGAGGCAGAACGCCAACACUGAGGCAUACCUUGAGUUUGUUUUCACAGUCCAGUGCCACUGUGAUUAACAGAACUUAAUUAAAGUUCACAUCUGCGUUGGAAUUGUGUCAGAGCUCUUGGGGUCCUCUCAUUUACUUUUUUUUUUUUUUUUCUGAAGUGGACCAGGGCUUGA